rnacentral:tRNA from 1 species
CGGGAAGUGGCGCAGCUUGGUUUAGCGCGCUGCGUUCGGGACGCAGAGGUCGUGGGUUCAAAUCCCACCUUCCCGACCA